rnacentral:lncRNA from 1 species
AUUUCAAUAUCUUGCACUGAAAAGUCAUCAAUAAGUACAAUAAUUCAAUGUGACUGUUACUGGUGUAGUUCAAAAUAUCACCAUGGGGUUGUGCCCAACUCCUAUCUAGGCUACGGUAUCUCUGCAUUAGAUGGACAGCAUUUCUGCCUGACUGCUGGACUUGUUAUUUGACUCCAGUCAGCUACUCAGUCUUUCCCCACCCCUAACCCUUCCCUGUCAGCUCACCCACACAGGCCUCCUCUAAACAUAAUGAGCUGCCAGGGACAGACAGGGGAGGGGGAGAGAGAACAUAAUUGCUUGCUUUACACAGCUUGUAGGCAGGCAGACAGUUUAGGCAGAGAUACACAGAAGAACACUUAGAGAGAUUGAGAGGAGGCACAAAAUAAAGAAAAAGAGAAGCAAGACAAAAGGGAAACAAAUCACCAACAGCACAAAAAAUGGAUCCCAACAAGAUGCCAAACGCCCCACCACCAGGCUGGAACCCAGAUGAGAAGUCUGGGAUGGGACAACCAGCUCCUCCACCCUACCAGGACCACCCCCAGUACCCCAACACAGGAUACCCUGUACCAGCAGGCUACCCCGCCAAUCCCCAGGGCUACGCACCACCGCCCCAGUAUGGAGGAGCUCCUGGGGCCCCUUACGGACAGCCAUACCCCCAGGGAGAGUACCCCCAGUCCACCGUCACAGUCCAGCCUACGGUGUUUGUGACCCAUGGAGCUCUGCCUUACCCUCUGCCAGACUACCUGGGCUACUCCAUUUUCACCAUGCUGUGCUGCUGCCUGCCACUUGGCAUCGCUGCACUUAUCUACUCCAUCUCGACUCGAGACGCCAACAACCAGGGUCACCAGCAGGUUGCUGAGAGGAGUUCUCGUCUAGCACGGAUACUGAACCACUCCGCCCUGGGUAUCGGCAUCACCGUCAUCAUCCUGUACAUUGUCUACGUCGUCAUCCUGGCCAAAAAUAUCCACUGAUCUGACACCUAAACACCGGCUUGCACCACAGCCACCGCUUCUCUCAACCCCAGCCCCCAAAAUCAUCCUGAUCUUGACCACAUAAAGUCGGUGCCAGUUACAGGCACUUUCCAAAGAGAUACAUAAUGCUGUUUAUUCAUCAACAUUUAUGACAUGCUUUUUUAAAAACUAUAUAUCUAAUGACUUACUUUUUUAAAUACCUGCAGACAAGAUAGUUUAAAUUGUUAAUUCAUUUGCCUGUUUAAUUUUAAGUUUAAUAUACAUAAAUAAACAACAAAUGAUGGAUACUGAUAGUUUUUUGGAAUAUUUCUAAUAAAUGUCUAAAGGAUAGUGUAUGUGUAUUCACUGUGUAUGGAUAAGUCAUAUCAGAGUUUAGAGACAGAUUUGACAAUGUUAUGAGAAUGCAGCAGAAAGAGACUAUUCUUAAAGUCUGAAAGGACAUGUAUUACUGGUUGUCAUUACACAGAGUGCCAGUAAGGCUACCACUCACAAGAAUAAACAAUUUACAACUCAAUGUCUAAUAUUUACUUUUUGUUACACAAAUGUCUCAAUAUCCUCAAUUCAGUGUUCUGUGCUGUCAGCAAUGGCACAAGCAAUACUCAACUCAACUUAUUUUGGACAACCGUGGAGACUAAGGCCUACAUUGAAUCUGUAGCAUGGAAGAUCCAUUGUAUAGCACGAUAUGCAAUAGGAACAUUUCUUUUUUCCUUUUGGUACAGAUUGAAUCUAGCUCUUGAAGUAAAAAGCAAUUGCAGCACUGUUCCAGUUUGUCCUUAAAUUGAUUCAUAGGGUAAAAAUGUCCACACUAUCAAUGUAAUUUAUAGUCACAUAUUGCCAGAUUAUGUAUAACACUGUAUAUGAUAGAUAUCUAUUUUAUUUUACUAUGUAUUCAGUGUUGCU